AAAGAAACUAACAAGGAUUUUCUUAGUAGCGGCGAGCGAAAAGAAAUCAGUUCAGCACUAAGUCACUUUGUCUAUAUGGCAAAUGUGAGAUGCAGUGUAUGGAACAUCAAUAUUCUAGUAUGAGAAAUUAACGAUUUAAGUCCUUCUUAAAUGAGGCCAUUUACCCAUAGAGGGUGCCAGGCCCGUAUAACGUUAAUGAUUACUAGAUGGUGUUUCCAAAGAGUCGUGUUGCUUGAUAGUGCAGCACUAAGUGGGUGGUAAACUCCAUCUAAAACUAAAUAUAACCAUGAGACCGAUAGUAAACAAGUACCGUGAGGGAAAGUUGAAAAGAACUCUGAAUAGAGAGUUAAAUAGUACGUGAAACUGCUUAGAGGUUAAGCCCGAUGAACCUGAAUAUCCAUUAUGGAAAAUUCAUCAUUAGAAUUGUAAUAUUUAAUCAAUAUUAUAAUAAUAGUGUGCAUUUUUUCCAUAUAAGGACAUUGUAAUCUAUUAGCAUAUCAAUUUAUCAAAAAAUUAUAACUUAUUGUUUAUUUGAAUUAAUGUGCUUGCAUGUUAACAUAAAAUAAAUGUUGUAAAUUUGAUAAAGUGUUGAUAGAUUAAUAAAAAUACGGUGCGUUAAUUUUACGGAAUUAUAUAAUGGCAUAAUUAUCAUUGAUUUUUAUGUUUAUUAUAAGCACUUGUAUGAUUAACAAUGCGAAAGAUUCAGGAUACCUUCGGGACCCGUCUUGAAACACGGACCAAGGAGUCUAACAUAUGUGCAAGUUAUUGGGAUAUAAACCUAAUAGCGUAAUUAACUUGACUAUUAAUGGGAUUAGUUUUUUAACUAUUUAUAGCUAAUUAACACAAUCCCGGGGCG
rnacentral:rRNA from 1 species